AUCAUUCAGGAAAGACUACAAGAAUUUACCCAGAAGAUGGCAAAGAUCAGUCAUCUGGAAAUGGAGCUCAAACAAGUUUGCCAAACUGUGGAAACUAUGUACAAGGACCUAUGUGUCCAGUCUGAGGUUCCCACUUCCGAAGAACAGAAUUACAAGGAUGGUGAAUGCUGACUCCUGCUAAGAGGCUUCCAUCUUAAUGCCUUGUCACCAAGAGAAGGCACAGAGGCUGUUUAAGCCAUGCUGAUAUGUCUUACAGUUCUGUAACCCAACACAAAGCCACCAAUUAUGUGUGUGCUAAUUACCAAAGUGUGAUAAGGUUAGACCCUGCCAUAGGCCUAGCCUUAGCAAAUUCUCCCAACCCACGUCUAUAGUUGAUUAAAUGUUUUGAUUUCA
rnacentral:lncRNA from 1 species